rnacentral:rRNA from 1 species
UGAUGCAGCGACGCCGCGUGGAGGAAGAAGGUUUUCGGAUUGUAAACUCCUGUCUUCGGGGACGAUAAUGACGGUACCCGAGGAGGAAGCCACGGCUAACUACGUGCCAGCAGCCGCGGUAAAACGUAGGUGGCAAGCGUUGUCCGGAAUUACUGGGUGUAAAGGGAGCGCAGGCGGGUCGGCAAGUUGGAGGUGAAAGCUGUGGGCUCAACUCACAAACUGCCUUCAAAACUGCCGGUCUUGAGUGGUGUAGAGGUAGGCGGAAUUCCCGGUGUAGCGGUGGAAUGCGUAGAUAUCGGGAGGAACACCAGUGGCGAAGGCGGCCUACUGGGCACUAACUGACGCUGAGGCUCGAAAGCAUGGG